CGCUGUCGUGAUCGGAGCAAAGCGAACUAUUCUUUCACCUUUUACUAAAGAGUACCGUGUGCUUGCCACAUCAAGCAGCAUACUCCUAUUUUUGGAGGGAUCAUCUAUAAUAGAAAGGU